UGUCCAGCUGUUGUUAGACUACAACUCCCAUCAUCCCUGACCACUGGUCCUGCUAGCUAGGGAUGAUGGGAGUUGCAGUCCAACAACAGCUGAGGA